AUUGUAAUUUUUUCAUGCUAGCAAAAUAAGCAAAACUGUGAAAACAAGAUUGUGAAGAUUGCUCAUGCUGGCGGAGUUUGAAAGCAACAAGAUGUCAUAUCCAUGAUGAAGCUUGAAGUUUGUCAAAGUUAGCUUAUACAUUUCACAGUUUAUUGUUUAGUAUUUUGUCUAUGAAUGAUGAUUGCUCUUUGUUUGCCAAACAUAUGCAAUCAAUUGAGCAGAUGGAUUACU